GCCACCGUAGCUCAGUUGGUAGAGCAACGCAUUCGUAAUGCGUGGGUCAGCGGUUCAAGUCCGCUUGGUGGCU
rnacentral:tRNA from 2 species